UCCGCAGCGGGAACCCUGACGGAUUCUGGGAGGGAGGGGGGUAAUUAUCACCACCUCUGGACCGGACCGGACCGGACUUCUGCGACCGCUGUGCCUCCUUCCCACCGGCGAACCGAAACUAUUGCACACCUCACAGCAGGGCCAGAGAACCAGCGCCACCUGUCUGUCAAAGGCCCCGGCUGUGUGGGCAAGGUGAGGCCGUCGUCACAGGUCUUUAACCCUUUAAUGCAGACGCCCCCCACCACCAAAGAAAAAAAAAAAAAAA